GAAUAUGCGGGUGAUCUGGCUGUGACUCUGUCACCCCACUGAUCGCUGGGGUUGAUUUGGAUGGUCAGGCUGACGGGGAGGGUGACCCCUUCCUCCCUCAUUGCUCCAUGUGUGUCCCUCCCGAAGCCAUGUUCUAGGUAGAAGAGGACGACCUGCCCCGAAGAGAAGAAAAUAGAACUGGAUCUCAGUCGAGAGUGCAGGAGUAGCUUCACUCCCUGACUAGAGCCUCCAAGCAAGCUCUCAAAAAUGAUAGGUAUUGCUAUCAGGAAAAAAAGAAAGAAAGAAAGAAAGAAA
rnacentral:snRNA from 1 species